CCCAGGGCAAUGGGCCCUGGUUUGUCCAACAUCCAGCAUCUCCACUGGCUACAGCUUUGAUGGUGUACUAUCUUCAGGGUGAGGCCUUGUCCACAGCCACAAACUUUCAGGUGGGCUUUGCUGCUCAGCUGCUGACCUUUCUCUGGGUUAGUCCACUGAAAACGUCUACUGAAGAGAGUCCAGCUAACUACAUGCAAGUAUGAACUCCUCAAGGACCAGCAAAAGGUCAGUUGGAAAUGGGAAAGGCACAAGAGAAUAUGGCAGACUGAGAAGAUGGGCUCUGAUGACCUGGGCUCUUCUUCUGACUUUACAGCCUUCUUGAUGGGUGAUGUUAGACCCAAUUUUUGUGACUUGGUCACUGUGGAGUUUUAAGAAGGUGUGGUUCUCAUUCUUGUUAAACCAGUUGAGAAUUUCCUGGAUCCCCAACUCUCUGCCCCUGUGUAGACGUGCCCUGCUCUUCUCAUCAAUGAGACCUUUGUAUGCCAUGGGGACGAAGGAUAUUACUGCGUGAGAAAGAACCACAGGAAACUCCCAUCGUUUUUUCUAGAGGGUGAGGGGGAAUAAAUGUCUGUGUGUAAAGGGGCACCCUCUGUGGUCUCCUUUUGUUAAUUUAUGAAUUGGAAGAUGAGUGUGGAUUUAUUGGAAUAGUAUAAUUAAGUGUCACCGUGGUACGGAGCAUAAUUAUGACCAAUAUAAUCAAGCAGAGAAAGGAACCUUAUUUCCUCCUGAAAAGCAUUAUUCCUUUAAGCCUUGCUUCUUCAAGGCUUUGUGUUCAUUUUUUCUUAAAUAUAAUAAAUAAGGCAGGCACAAAUAAAGAAUGUGAUCUUAAAGGAACAUGAAGGGAUCUGUUGUCCAUGUCCUGUCUUGGAAGUGAAAUUUUUGAGAUAAUAUUGAAGAUGAAAACCAGCAAGACCCCUCUGGGCUAAGAGAGGCUACUCUUAGGUUACACUUCUGUUUAUCACCAGUAUGCCCUUGUCCUAUUUUUUUCUUCUCUUUUCCCCCUUUUCUCCUCCUCCUCCUUCUCUGUUGGCCAAUCAGAUGCCUUGUCCCUCUGAAGGGGAC